GGCUACACACGUGCUACAAUGGGUAGAACAGAGAGUUGCAAAGCUGUGAAGUGGAGCUAAUCUCAGAAAACUAUUCUUAGUUCGGAUUGUACUCUGCAACUCGAGUACAUGAAGUUGGAAUCGCUAGUAAUCGCGAAUCAGCAAUGUCGCGGUGAAUACGUUCUCGGGUCUUGUACACACCGCCCGUCACACCACGAGAGUUGGUUGCACCUGAAGUAGCAGGCCUAACCGUAAGGAGGGAUGCUCCGAGGGUGUGAUUAGCGAUUGGGGUGAAGUCGUAACAAGGUAUCCGUACGGGAACGU
rnacentral:rRNA from 1 species